GCCCUCUCUGAUGGGGAAAUCACCUCACAUAUUCUCGCUGGUCUUGACCUAGAUUACAAUCCUGUAGUCUCUGCUCUUGCCGCUUGGGUAGA
rnacentral:snoRNA from 1 species